GCACCCAUAGCUCAACUGGAUAGAGUGUUUGACUACGAAUCAAAAGGUUAGGGGUUCGACUCCCUUUGGGUGCAUAG
rnacentral:tRNA from 1 species